UGGGGAAUUUUGGACAAUGGGCGAAAGCCUGAUCCAGCAAUGCCGCGUGUGUGAAGAAGGCCUUCGGGUUGUAAGGCACUUUUGUCCGGAAAGAAAUCCUUGGCUCUAAUACAGUCGGGGGAUGACGGUACCGGAAGAAUAAGCACCGGCUAACUACGUGCCAGCAGCCGCGGUAAUACGUAGGGUGCAAGCGUUAAUCGGAAUUACUGGGCGUAAAGCGUGCGCAGGCGGUUUGCUAAGACCGAUGUGAAAUCCCCGGGCUCAACCUGGGAACUGCAUUGGUGACUGGCAGGCUAGAGUAUGGCAGAGGGGGGUAGAAUUCCACGUGUAGCAGUGAAAUGCGUAGAGAUGUGGAGGAAUACCGAUGGCGAAGGCAGCCCCCUGGGCCAAUACUGACGCUCAUGCACGAAAGCGUGGGGAGCAAACAGGAUUAGAUACCCUGGUAGUCCACGCCCUAAACGAUGUCAACUAGUUGUUGGGGAUUCAUUUCCUUAGUAACGUAGCUAACGCGUGAAGUUGACCGCCUGGGGAGUACGGUCGCAAGAUUAAAACUCAAAUGAAUUGACGGGGUCAUAGCUGUUUCCU
rnacentral:rRNA from 1 species